rnacentral:lncRNA from 1 species
GUAACAAUCCAAGCAUCACGCUCAGUGGAAUUCACAAGCCCAAAGAACUUUCCGGGAUAGUAAUCAGCUGCUUGAGAACAACUCAUAGUCUUCACACCACGCCACUUUACCCUUGCUUUCGUGUUAGCACCAGGACCCUUGUUAUUAUACUCAAGAUACGUACAUGUGUUCUUGUUAGCACUUCCCAUCCAUGCCAUGUAACCUUCUGGUGAGAAAACAUCAUCAAUGAUUGAAUCCAUGAUGACAACUUUGGAGAACGCUCUCCAUGGUCGUCCGAGGAAGGAUAUUUUGGUCUUUAACCUUGCCACGUCAGGCUCGCCGGAGAAGUGGCAGCUCUGGAAGACAAGGGCACUGGGGCUGUCGGCUUUUGUUCUUCCGCCGGCGGUGACGAGGCAUUGUUGGGAUUCGACGGAGGGCUUUCGGACGAUGAGCUUGCAGUUCUGGAAGACUCCGAAGGCGUCGCCGAAGACGAAGACAAUGGUGCCAGUGAUGGUGCAGGCGCAGUAGAAUUGGCGUUGGGAUUGGACGUAGAGGGUAUCUUGGAAGCCGUCCAUUGCGCAGUUGUGGAACACUGCUUGGUCUGCUGUUACUCGGAGUGCCACUGCUUGGUGCUUUUCUGAUCCUGCUGUGUUCUCGAAACCGAUGUCCUUUGC